GAUGAACGCUGGCGGCGUGCCUAAUACAUGCAAGUCGAGCGAACAGACGAGGAGCUUGCUCCUCUGACGUUAGCGGCGGACGGGUGAGUAACACGUGGAUAACCUACCUAUAAGACUGGGAUAACUUCGGGAAACCGGAGCUAAUACCGGAUAAUAUAUUGAACCGCAUGGUUCAAUAGUGAAAGACGGUUUUGCUGUCACUUAUAGAUGGAUCCGCGCCGCAUUAGCUAGUUGGUAAGGUAACGGCUUACCAAGGCAACGAUGCGUAGCCGACCUGAGAGGCUGAUCGGCCACACUGGAACUGAGACACGGUCCAGACUCCUACGGGAGGCAGCAGUAGGGAAUCUUACGCAAUGGGCGAAAGCCUGACGGAGCAACGCCGCGUGAGUGAUGAAGGUCUUCGGAUCGUAAAACUCUGUUAUUAGGGAAGAACAAAUGUGUAAGUAACUAUGCACGUCUUGACGGUACCUAAUCAGAAAGCCACGGCUAACUACGUG
rnacentral:rRNA from 1 species